rnacentral:misc_RNA from 1 species
GAUUGCUAACUGAAGUUCUUCCUGCAAGGUUACGAACAAAACUAAAUUAGUUAAACAGAUCACGGGACAAACCAAGAAUCCUUACAAGUACGCAACAAAAACCACCGUUGCAUACAAAAUCAAUUAAGAUAGUCUUGUUUUUGAAUUUUUUUGGAUCAUUAGCCGAAUCCAGAUCAAAAUCGCCAUUAAUUCCCAGAUCAACACCAGAAAAACAAAUUAAAA